GAACGGAAACGGCAGAACUGCCCUUGUCGAUGCGCCACACCACGUCCCCUCGUCUCCCCGGGCGCUAGAUCCCUCUAGAACUUUCCUCUUUCCCUUUCCCCUUCAUCUCCCCAUCCUAUUGCGCAUUUAUUCGAGCCAUAAAGGUCAUGGCGUUGCAGGAAACAGCUGCGGCCAUUAACGUUGUCUCCCGUUGCUCCACAUCCUCUCCCUCUGUAUAAAUUCGACCCGAGCUUCCAAAUAGCAUACCACACCCCUCCAUUGAUCCACGCCCCCAGGCUGCCCCUGUGGAGGGCGAAUUUCGUCGUCGGAGUUCCGACGGCCGCCACGACGUCUUGUCAAAUUCGCUGGCCGGAGGUCAUCCACGACGUACACCCGACGCCAACAUCGCUAUAGCUGUCCGUCGGCCAUCUCCGGGAGAUUCGCUGGAGAGUCGUCUACAUCAUUGUUCUUCUCCGGUGACACCAUAUCGUCGACGCCGUUCCCACUGCCGCGCACAAACUAUCCGACAGUCUCUGUCAAAAAUCCCCGCUGAUUGCACGGAGUGUAGCGAGGAAUUUUAUCAAGAAGAAGAUCCUUGCUACUGUUGUUCCGAA